UGCUAUGCUCGGUCCGGAAGACGCGGUAUGAUGGUGGGUGUAGAGUUUAAUCGGAAGUCUUAGGAGGAAGUGGAGCGCAUGCGGUUUUGUAAGACAGAGGUGAAAGCGCCGGGCUCAAGCUGGGAACUGGCUUUGUGACUGCGAGGCUGGGGUGCGGCAGAGGGGUAUGGAAUUCCGCGUGUAGCAGUGAAAUGCGUAGAUAUUCGGAGGGACACCGAUGGCGAAGGCAAUCCCCUGGGCCUGCACUGACGCUCAUGCACGAAAGCGUGGGGAGCAAACAGGAUUAGAUACCCUGGUAGUC
rnacentral:rRNA from 1 species